rnacentral:rRNA from 1 species
AGUGAACGCUGGCGGUAGGCCCAACACAUGCAAGUCGAACGGCAGCACAGUAAGAGCUUGCUCUUACGGGUGGCGAGUGGCGGACGGGUGAGGAAUACAUCGGAAUCUACUUUUUCGUGGGGGAUAACGUAGGGAAACUUACGCUAAUACCGCAUACGACCUACGGGUGAAAGCAGGGGAUCUUCGGACCUUGCGCGAUUGAAUGAGCCGAUGUCGGAUUAGCUAGUUGGCGGGGUAAAGGCCCACCAAGGCGACGAUCCGUAGCUGGUCUGAGAGGAUGAUCAGCCACACUGGAACUGAGACACGGUCCAGACUCCUACGGGAGGCAGCAGUGGGGAAUAUUGGACAAUGGGCGCAAGCCUGAUCCAGCCAUACCGCGUGGGUGAAGAAGGCCUUCGGGCUGUAAAGCCCUUUUGUUGGGAAAGAAAAGCAGCAGGUUAAUACCCCGCUGUUCCGACGGUACCCAAAGAAUAAGCACCGGCUAACUUCGUG